UAUUUCCACAUAUACCGUAGUCGGCAGAAAAUAUAAAAUAAAAAAAUAUAACUCAACAUAGAAUAAUAAUAAUAAUACAUAGUCAAAUUAAGAGUUUAAGUUAGUCAAAGCUUUCUCAUGACUCCAUGAGAGGCUGACGUUUGUCUGCAUUUUCCCCUCCCCACGUUCUAUAAAUACAGGCCUGCUCUUCUCACAAACUCCCCCCACCGCUCACCAACAUUGGGGUUUUUUUUCUCUCCUCUUUUUUAUUUAAUUUCAGUAUGGAAGAAUCUGUUAAGCUCAGGAGGGAUAGCGCCAUGGAUGAUCCAUCUUUCAAGCUUUCAUGCAUGUAUGUUAUUUGAUCCUCAUAUAGCGCUAUCCAUCCUGAGUUUCAUCGGUUCUUCUUGCUUGCUGUCGCUCCGUUAGCUGAAAAAGGAACACACAAAAAUCUUGUGGGUGUUGGGUAAGUUUUGCAGGCUCCACGAUUCCACUAGAAAGGGGGAGAAACAGUUGAAGAAAAUUCCCCUUUGUCGUAUAAAUUGGAGAAACAAACAAAUAAGGGGCCUUAUAUUUGUGGACAUAAUUAGUUUGGUCCUCUAAUGCAUAUGCGGAAGUGAUGCUUCUGCUUGUAUUUGGUGUUAUGGAGAGGCACUGUCGCUGUUAUAAAUUAAGUUAUAAGCACUAUUAUGUGCAUGAAAUUAUUGAAAGGAUGUAAUUUGUCUUAUUGUAGCAGUGGACAUUGAAUGAGAGUGAAGAGUAUGGCAUGUGCUUAGGUGCAGCCUGCAGGUCUCCUUUUGCUUUUACUAGCCUUUACCAUGCUCCGACUAAUGGGGGUUGACAUGAUAUUCCGAUUCAUAAUAAUAAUAAUAUUAUUGAAUAACCUCAACUUGGUGUUAUUUAAUAAGGGUGGAAUAUAUAUAUAUAUAGAAGCUAGGGACCAUUUUUCAAUGGAUUUGAAGACAGCUUUGAAUGGCAUAUGGCGCAAGUCAUGUAAAAAGGUUUCCAUUUCCAAUUCCACUUGCUGGGUUUUUAAUAAUCGUGAAGAUAUGGUUAAUGACCAGCAUGAACUGUUGAAUUUAAGCUCUUCUUUUUAUCUAUUUAUUUUUUAAGUUUUGGCC